rnacentral:rRNA from 1 species
UACGAAGGGGGCUAGCGUUGCUCGGAAUCACUGGGCGUAAAGCGCACGUAGGCGGAUUGUUAAGUCAGGGGUGAAAUCCUGGAGCUCAACUCCAGAACUGCCCUUGAUACUGACGGUCUCGAGUUCGGGAGAGGUGAGUGGAACUGCGAGUGUAGAGGUGAAAUUCGUAGAUAUUCGCAAGAACACCAGUGGCGAAGGCGGCUCACUGGCCCGAUACUGACGCUGAGGCACGAAAGCUAGGGGAGCAAACAGG